rnacentral:lncRNA from 1 species
AUGCACCGACUCCGGCGCCCAGUCCGACUGCGGCGGAGGUUCCCGCCGCCGCGGCUGGUGCUGCAAACCAGUCUGCCUUCCCUGCAGGGCGAGCGGGGAUGGAGCAAGUGGGUGGAGAGAAAAGGGGAAGAGCCUGGGCGGCCGGCGGGCGGGGCCUGCAGCCUCCCCGAGCCGCGGCAGCCGGCGCGCAGACUGCUCUCUCCGCGCCUCGCUCCGACUCAGGCGCGCACGGCGCCGGGACCCGCGCCCGAGCCCGAGCCCGAGCCCGCGCCCGCGCCCGAGCCCGAGCCCGGGGGCGCCGCUGCUCCUCCGCCCCCGGCCCCCGCUCCCCGCCGAGUGCGCUGCGCGGAGGCCGCGCAGGGCAGCGGAGCGCUCCGGCUGCUGGGGCUUUUCGGCUGCCGCUCGCUGCUCCGUCUGGCCGGAGGACUGGCGGGGAAGGAAGGGGAAAGCGGCGACACACACACUCGCCGCGGCGCGCGCGCACUGCACACUCGCAGCCGCGCGCCCCCCGCCGAGGCGCGUCCCGGGCGAGUUUGGCCCCGCGGCCCCGGCCCCGCACCUGCCGGCUCCGCACGCCGCGCCCCGCCCCCGCCCCCGCCCCGCCGACCGUCGGGCCCCUUCCGCCCCUCGCCGGCACAGAUCUCCCGGCGCCGGGCGGGGGGGAAGCAACUACAUCCAGAUAACUUGCGGACUGUGGCGCAACUGGUCUCGACAGCAGAGGCGCCCGAAUGCUGCCCGGGUGAGAAGAAGGAUGACAGAGAAGUAGAAUGGUUCUUAAAUAUUAACAGAUCCAGCCAUUGGGAUUGAGGUAUGUCUUUGUGAAAAAGAAAUUAUAUGUUAAAUAGUUCAGAGACUUGCCUGCUUUAUGGAUAAGACAGCUGAGGCAUAGAGAGGUGAAUUGACUUGCUCAGG